AAAACGGCCCUUGUAAGGGCCACCUCUCUUUCAAUCUCCAUGUAAA
rfam:Macrostomum lignano uti_cns_0046636, whole genome shotgun sequence.